GCCUAUUCUUACUUUUUUCCAAUAAUAAUUAUGAAAAAUGUUUGAUUGUUGAUUAAAUUUCCUGAUACAGUUUUUAGUUUUCUAACUCCAUAAAUUCAGUACUUAUUUUAAAAUUGUGAAAAAAAAUAAAACUCAGUGUUAAAUUUAAAACCAAUUUAAAUUUUUAAAAAUGUAAGAUUUAGUAAAAUAUGUUUGAAUAAAUAAUAAUAUAAAUAUAAAUAAUCAAUAUUUUGAAAUCAAGCGUAUACAAGGUGAUCAAUUUAUCGUAAGACACUCAUUAUUCUGUGAAGUAUGGACUUCUUUACGGAAUUUAAAAAACCAGCCAUACAAUUUUACUUUCACGUUAUUUUUGUGGUAAAACCACUACACACUUUUGAUUUUCAAAAUUUCAUUAACAGGCGGAAUAAUAAUUAAAAUAAAUUUUGUAAUUAUCCAUUAAUCCGUUGAAGAGAUAUUCCAUUUUUAAGCUUUGGGAAAGUAGUGAAGCGUCAUUUGUGUGGUAACAUUAUAAUAAUGUACCACUACUCUCCCCCGACCUAAACUCAAAAGUGGAAUAUCAUGUCACAGAAAUCAUCAAUUUCAACACCAAAAUUUAUUUUAACAAAUACUCAAUCUGUUUAUGGAAUAUUUGAUUUAGAUUGCCAUUAUAAAAUCAAAAUAAGUAGUAGUUUUACACUCCAUAAAAACAUAC